AUUGAACGCUGGCGGCAUGCUUUACACAUGCAAGUCGAACGGUAACAGGCCGCAAGGUGCUGACGAGUGGCGAACGGGUGAGUAAUGCAUCGGAACGUGCCCAGUCGUGGGGGAUAACGCAGCGAAAGCUGUGCUAAUACCGCAUACGAUCUAUGGAUGAAAGCGGGGGACCGUAAGGCCUCGCGCGAUUGGAGCGGCCGAUGGCAGAUUAGGGUAGUUGGUGGGGUAAAGGCCUUCCAAGCCGACGAUCUGUAGCUGGUCUGAGAGGACGACCAGCCACACUGGGACGGAGCGACGGCCCAGCCUCCUACGGAAGGCAGCAGUGGGGAAUUUUGGACAAUGGGCGCAAGCCUGAUCCAGCAAUGCCGCGUGCAGGAAGAAGGCCUUCGGGUUGUAAACUGCUUUUGUACGGAACGAAACGGUCUGGGUUAAUACCCUGGGCUAAUGACGGUACCGUAAGAAUAAGCACCGGCUAACUACGUGCCAGCCGCCGCUGUAAAAC
rnacentral:rRNA from 1 species